rnacentral:lncRNA from 1 species
UAUUCUUCAUCAACUAGCUGGUAAUGAAUCUUGCCCUCAGCCUCAGACAUCGGAACACCUGGCUGCUAUAGAGAUCAUGAAACUGAAGCAUAUUUUGAUUCUACAAAAUAAAAUUGAUUUGGUAAAAGAAAGUCAGGCUAAAGAACAAUACGAGCAGAUCCUUGCAUUUGUCCAAGGUAAGAAGCCAUAAUAUGAAAUAAAUCUAUGAAUCACUUUGAGAGGCAUUUACUC